rnacentral:lncRNA from 1 species
CCAAGAUGGUGGCGCUGGGCUCGGGGUGACUACAGGAGACGACGGGGCCUUUUCCCUUCGCCAGGACCCGACACACCAGGCUUCGCUCGCUCGCGCACCCCUCCGCCGCGUAGCCAUCCGCCAGCGCGGGCGCCCGCCAUCCGCCGCCUACUUACGCUUCACCUCUGCCGACCCGGCGCGCUCGGCUGCGGGCGGCGGCGCCUCCUUCGGCUCCUCCUCGGAAUAGCUCGCGGCCUGUAGCCCCUGGCAGGAGGGCCCCUCAGCCCCCCGGUGUGGACAGGCAGCGGCGGCUGGCGACGAACGCCGGGAUUUCGGCGGCCCCGGCGCUCCCUUUCCCGGCCUCGUUUUCCGGAUAAGGAAGCGCGGGUCCCGCAUGAGCCCCGGCGGUGGCGGCAGCGAAAGAGAACGAGGCGGUGGCGGGCGGAGGCGGCGGGCGAGGGCGACUACGACCAGUGAGGCGGCCGCCGCAGCCCAGGCGCGGGGGCGACGACAGAUCAGGAGAACCUCAGUCUGACGACAUUGAAGCUAGCCGAAU